rnacentral:rRNA from 1 species
GGUCAAGCUACAAAGGGCUCACGGCGGAUACCUUGGCACACAGAGGCGAUGAAGGACGUGGUUACCUGCGAUAAGUCUCGGGGAGCUGGAAACACGCUUUGAUCCGGGAAUUUCCGAAUGGGGCAACCCUUAGAACGGCCAGCUGAAUCUAUAGGCUGGCGCGAGCCAACCCAGCGAACUGAAACAUCUUAGUAGCUGGAGGAAAGGAAAGUAAAAACGACUCCCUAAGUAGCGGCGAGCGAACGGGGAAGAGCCUAAACCAAUGGUUUCGACCAUUGGGGUUGUGGGACAGCAACGUGGAUCAGGAAUGUUAGUGGAAGUGUUUGAAAGACACGCCAUAGAAGGUGAAAGCCCCGUACACGAAAACUGAACUGACCUAGCUGUAUCCCGAGUAGCACGGAGCACGUGGAAUUCCGUGUGAAUCAGCGAGGACCACCUCGUAAGGCUAAGUACUCCUGUGUGACCGAUAGCGAAACAGUACCGCGAGGGAAAGGUGAAAAGAACCCCGGGAGGGGAGUGAAAUAGAACAUGAAACCGUGAGCCUACAAGCAAUGGGAGCCCUACUAAUAGGGUGACCGUGUGCCUGUUGAAGAAUGAGCCGGCGACUUAUAGGCACUGGCGGGUUAAACCGGAAAUGGUGGAGCCAUAGCGAAAGCGAGUCUGAAUAGGGCGUUUGUCAGUGUUUAUAGACCCGAACCCGGGUGAUCUAACCAUGGCCAGGAUGAAGCUUGGGUGAUACCAAGUGGAGGUCCGAACCGACUGACGUUGAAAAGUCAGCGGAUGAGCUGUGGUUAGGGGUGAAAUGCCAAUCGAACCCGGAGCUAGCUGGUUCUCCCCGAAAUACGUUGAGGCGUAGCGUCUCGUGCUCCAGCAGGGGGGUAAAGCCACCAUUUCGGUGCGGGCUGCGAGAGCGGUACCAAAUCGAGAUGAACUCUGAAUACCCUGUGUGUAGCGAGGCAGUCAGACUGUGGGGGAUAAGCUCCAUGGUCGAGAGGGAAACAGCCCAGACCGCCAGCUAAGGUCCCCAAAUCAACACUAAGUGAUAAAGGAGGUGGGAUUGCCCAGACAACCAGGAGGUUUGCCUAGAAGCAGCCAUCCUCAAAGGAGUGCGUAAUAGCUCACUGGUCGAGCGAUCCUGCGCCGAAAAUGAAUGGGGCUAAGUGUUGUACCGAAGCUGCGGAUUUAUGGUAGGGGAGCGUUCUAUGUGGGGCGAAGCGUUAGCGUGAGCGGGCGUGGACUGCAUAGAAGUGAGAAUGUCGGCUUGAGUAGCGAAAACAUGGGUGAGAAUCCCAUGCACCGAAACCCUAAGGGUUCCUCCGGCAGGCUCGUCCGCGGAGGGUUAGUCUGGACCUAAGGCGAGGCCGAAAGGCGUAGUCGAUGGAUAACAGGUCAACAUUCCUGUACCGGUUAUGUUUUGGGAAGAGGGACGGAGAAGGCUAGCCAAGCCAGAUGUUGGUUACUGGUUCAAGCGUUCGAGGCGUUGAGGAUCGGCGAAAACGAUCCGAGCUGAGGCGUGAGUACGAGCUGCUACGGCAGCGAAGUUGGUGAUGUCAUGCUUCCAAGAAAAGCUCUAUACCCGUUAAGGCAUAACUGCCAGUACCCGAAACCGACACAGGUGGGGUGGUAGAGAAUACCGAGGUGCGCGAGGUAACUCUCUCUAAGGAACUCGGCAAAAUGGCCCCGUAACUUCGGGAGAAGGGGUGCCACAGCAAUGUGGUCGCAGUGAAGAGGCCCUGGCGACUGUUUACCAAAAACACAGGUCUCCGCUAAGUCGCAAGACGAUGUAUGGGGGCUGACGCCUGCCCAGUGCCGGAAGGUUAAGGAAGCCGGUCAGCGUAAGCGAAGCUGGCGACUGAAGCCCCGGUGAACGGCGGCCGUAACUAUAACGGUCCUAAGGUAGCGAAAUUCCUUGUCGGGUAAGUUCCGACCCGCACGAA